CAAAGUAAUUUUCGUGCUCUCAACAAUUGUCGCCGUCACAGAUUGUUGUUCGAGCCGAAUCUUACUUCU
rfam:Drosophila melanogaster gurken gene, complete cds.